AGGUAGGUAAGAAAGAAAUCACAAGGAAGCACAAGCUGUUCUGGCUACUGCAAUUGCUGCUGUGGCAUCUUCUAGGGUUUCUUCCUUCCGAAAAGACUCUCUAGAUGAAUCUAUGCAACAAGAGAAUUUGUUGAAGUUGGAUGCUUUAAGUGGGAGGAAUGGUGCUGAUUCUCAGCCAAUGCCAAGAGCCAAAGAGACACUUUCAAGAGUAGCUAUGACAAGAACGUCAUCAGAGAAAUAUUCUAAUUUCAGUUUGCCAACCUCAGAAUAUUCUAAGGAGCAAUCUAAAUCAUGUGAUAUCUGCAGACGAUCCGAGACUUUGUUUAAAUCUGAUUAUGUGAGAAGCUUGAGGCAGAAAGAAAUGGACUUUGUAUGCCUCAUUGUUUUAUUUAAUUUAAAGUAGAAACAACAACAUUUUGUAGGCCUCAUAUGUGUUAGGAAAUGAGGAAAAGCAUAAUAAAAAAUAUAUUUUUAAGAUUUUUUUAUGAGUUA